AAAAUAAAAUCAAUAUGUAAAUAUACAUAUAAAUUGUCAAUAUAUAAAAAUGUAUAUGAAUGGGAAUGUGACAGAGGCACCAAAUGUAUCAGUACAUGCACAGGAUGAUUCAACAUCCAAUAUAUUAUUAGGGGAAAUAAGCAUUUGCUGAUAUGAAACAUUUGCAUCAUAUUUUAUGCAAUUUUUAUUGAUAAUUUUUAAUAAUUCACUGCUAUAUAAUAUAAACAUUUAAUUUAAUUGCAAUAAAAAAGUGAUGUUGAAAAAUAAAGAUGUUUAAAAUGUCAUUUUAUUGGAUUCAUAUAGUAUUAUUCAAUAAUUAUUUUAAAAUAAUAACAAAUACAACAUCCCCUCGUAGUCUUUAGCCCCUUUUCGAAAGGUGUCAUCUUACCCCAGUGGUCUAAUUUUACUUUUCUACUUUAAAAAAAAAAAAAAAAAUGUGCUGAAAUAAGAUUAAGAUAUUAUUAGUUAUUAUUUGACCCAGUGCGCAUGCGCUCCACGUCAAAUGCACCUGCUUGUUAGUCAUUAGGGGACUGAUUACAAAUACCUUAAAUUGUAGUUUCGCGUCAGCGACCUGCUGUAUACUCACUGCCCUAUCCAUCAUGAAAGCGCCUGGUCUUAAAAGCAAGCGGUGCACGGCAUCUAGAAGCUCCAUAUCAGGAACCAGAGGUCACGCUGCGUUCAUCUACACAGUCCGACAACAGUCAGCAGUGAGAAGCGUCCAUGAGUCCAGGGGCGUAAGCAGAUAUUUGCUGCAGAGAGUGGGGUCAGAGGCCGCGCGACUCUCCUGUUUCAGCCGCCACAGAAUCGUCACGCGGAGGGAGAUUCUGGAGGCCUGGAAUCAACUGAGACGCCGCAGAAAUCCAGCUGCGCUGGCUGGCGCCUGAGCCUUGAAUCUUUUUAGCUGAAGCUUUUAAUGUAUAUAACAAUUUUAGUUGAUUUUGUAAAUAUUUAUUUGUUCAAAUAAUAAAAUCAUUUUGUUAAUCUGG